rnacentral:rRNA from 1 species
AUUGAACGCUGGCGGCACGCCUAACACAUGCAAGUCGAGCGGCAGCGAGACUAGUAGCAAUACUAGUUGUCGGCGAGCGGCGGACGGGUGAGUAACACGUAGGAAUCUGCCCUUAAGCGGGGGAUAACCAAGGGAAACUUUGGCUAAUACCGCAUAAUCUCGAGAGAGCAAAGCUGCCCGCAAGGGUGGCACUUGAGGAGGAGCCUGCGUCCGAUUAGCUAGUUGGUGGGGUAAUGGCCUACCAAGGCGAUGAUCGGUAACUGGUCUGAGCGGACGACCCGUCACAGUGGGACUGAGCCACUGCCCGGACUCCUACGGGAGGCAGCAGUGGGGAAUAUUGGACAAUGGGGGCAACCCUGAUCCAGCGAUGCCGCGUGAAUGAAGAAGGCCUUCGGGUCGUAAAGCUCUUUAGGUUGGGAAGAAGGGUAUUGGCUGAAUAAUCCAGUACUUUGACGGUACCGACAGAAUAAGCACCGGCAAACUCUGUGCCAGCCGCCGCAGAAAAAC